GACAGAAGAUGGCGGAUGAGCAGCGUGCAGGGUUUUCUCCCUGUGGCUCACUCUCUCUUACUGUGCUGGGCGGUUGCUUCCUCUCCUGCUGCCCUUGGGAGUCAGACUCCAGGUUCUUCAGCCUGUGGCCCCUGGGGCUCUCGGGCCUUGGAGGACUGACUAGGAGCACACGGUGGGCCUCUCUGGUUUGGGGGCCUGGGACGUGGCGGAGCCCUGCAGCUUCUGUGCGGCCUGUUCUGGGCGUCGCGUUGAAACGCCAGCCAGUUCCCCAACAGAAAGAGCAUACGGGAGAGAUGAAGCAGUCCACUCCAAGAACAUUCUCAUCCUACGGAUUACGAGUCCCCCUGGGAUUACAGGAGUGUUGAAGAAAUGUUGUGACACAUCAGAACACCGCGAAAUACAUGGACACUUUCAAAUCAUGGAAGACUCAAGCCCACCAGGUAUUUUUGAAAAAAGUACUCUGUGAAAAACAGAAACUGCAAGCAAGACAGAUACCAGGAUUAGGGAUCACGGUGACUUCUACCAUCGCUGGAUACUCCCAAAAGGGUUCUCGAGACAGCAGCUGUGUCUGCCCUGCUUUGGCAUUCUUUCCCAGGCAUGGCGACCGACAAAGAAGACAGAAAAUACUACACACUACCCAGAGAUUGAAACUGAAGGUGUGAACAACAGAGAAAAGAGAGGGCAAAGAAAAGGAAAACAAAGAAGACGUGGGAUAUGAAAGGUGUAUGCCAUGUGUGGACAUCAAGAAAUGUUUCAGCUCGCACUUCUGCCACCAAUUGAGCCUGGAACCUCACUACUUGGAGUUGGGGGGAGGGCAGUGCUCAUUCAUCACCUGUGAAAAUAGGGAUUGAGAGUUCCCUAACUUUGCCAUUUUUCCUCAAGCACUGGCAUUGGUCUUCUGAAUGUCAGGCUCUGUAUAAGUGAGUCCUCAGCUGAGCCACAGGCUCUGCAUUCCUGGCAGUCCACACACUUCAUAUCCUUUGUUUAUGCUGCUCAUUUUGGAAUUCAAACAGGUUGGUGGGGCACAUUUCAACAGAUAAUGACACACACUGACUGCUCAUGAGCUAUUUUAUGGUGUGAGAAUGUUGUGAUGUUAUGAAAUGCGGAGGCAUUAAAACAUGGGGACAUUUUCUAGAAGAUCCUUAGCAGAGAGUACAGAAGACUAAGGUCCAAAUCUCUGAAAUGAUGUUUUCCAAAUUAUUGCACAGCUAUGUCAAAGUACCUUGAUCCAGUUAAUGUUAACAAAUAAAAAAUUAUGAAA
rnacentral:lncRNA from 1 species